CAAAGAGGAAAGGACAGUGUGCUUGG
rnacentral:piRNA from 1 species